rnacentral:rRNA from 1 species
UGGGGAAUAUUGCACAAUGGGGGAAACCCUGAUGCAGCGACGCCGCGUGAGCGAAGAAGGUUUUCGAAUCGUAAAACUCUGUUCUAUGGGAAGAAAAGGACUGUACCAUAGGAGAAAGCUCCGGCUAAAUACGUGCCAGCAGCCGCGGUAAUACGUAUGGAGCGAGCGUUGUCCGGAAUUAUUGGGCGUAAAGGGUGCGCAGGCGGCUUUACAAGUUGGAUGUGAAAUAUUGUGGCUCAACCACAAACGUGCAUCCAAAACUGCAAAGCUUGAGUUAAGGAGAGGUAAGUGGAAUUCCUGGUGUAGCGGUGGAAUGCGCAGAUAUCAGGAGGAAUACCGGUGGCGAAGGCGGGUCUCUGGGCUGUUACUGACGCUGAGGAGCGAAAGCGUGGGGAGCGAACAGG